CAUGCCGCGUGUGUGAAGAAGGCCUUCGGGUUGUAAAGCACUUUCAGUUGUGAGGAAAAGUGAGUAGUUAAUACCUGCUCACCGUGACGUUAACAACAGAAGAAGCACCGGCUAACUCCGUGCCAGCAGCCGCGGUAAUACGGAGGGUGCGAGCGUUAAUCGGAAUUACUGGGCGUAAAGCGCACGCAGGCGGUUUGUUAAGCUAGAUGUGAAAGCCCCGAGCUCAACUUGGGAUGGUCAUUUAGAACUGGCAGACUAGAGUCUUGGAGAGGGGAGUGGAAUUCCAGGUGUAGCGGUGAAAUGCGUAGAUAUCUGGAGGAACAUCAGUGGCGAAGGCGACUCCCUGGCCAAAGACUGACGCUCAUGUGCGAAAGUGUGGGUAGCGAACAGGAUUAGAUACCCUGGUAGUCCACACCGUAAACGCUGUCUACUAGCUGUUUGUGGCUUUAAGCCGUGAGUAGCGAAGCUAACGCGAUAAGUAGACCGCCUGGGGAGUACGGCCGCAAGGUUAAAACUCA
rnacentral:rRNA from 1 species